UAGGGAAUCUUCGGCAAUGGGGGGAACCCUGACCGAGCAACGCCGCGUGGGUGAAGAAGGUUUUCGGAUCGUAAAGCUCUGUUGUUAAGGAAGAACGAGUGUGAGAAUGGAAAGUUCAUACUGUGACGGUACUUAACCAGAAAGGGACGGCUAACUACGUGCCAGCAGCCGCGGUAAUACGUAGGUCCCGAGCGUUGUCCGGAUUUAUUGGGCGUAAAGCGAGCGCAGGCGGUUAGAUAAGUCUGAAGUUAAAGGCAGUGGCUCAACCAUUGUAGGCUUUGGAAACUGUUUAACUUGAGUGCAGAAGGGGAGAGUGGAAUUCCAUGUGUAGCGGUGAAAUGCGUAGAUAUAUGGGGGAACACCGGUGGCGAAAGCGGCUCUCGGGUCUGUAACUGACGCUGAGGCUCGAAAGCGUGGGGAGCGAACAGG
rnacentral:rRNA from 1 species